rnacentral:rRNA from 1 species
UUUAUGAUGGGUAGGGGGGCUUCGUAUGCAGGCUGAAGCAUGACCGUAAGGACAUGUGGACAGUAUACGAGUGAGAAUGUUGGCAUGAGUAGCGAGACGUGGGUGAGAAUCCCACGGGCCGUAAACCCAAGGUUUCCAGGGGAAGGUUCGUCCACCCUGGGUUAGUCGGGACCUAAGCCGAGGCCGAAAGGCGUAGGUGAUGGACAACAGGUUGAUAUUCCUGUACCGCCAAUAAGCGUUUGAGAGAUGGAGUGACACAGUAGGAUAAGCUAACCGUACUGUUGGUUAUGUACGGCUAAGCAUUGAGGCAGUCUAAAUAGGCAAAUCCGUUUGGACAAUGCUAGGAUGUGAUGGGGAAGCCCUUCGGGGCGAAGUAGCUGAUUUCACACUGUCAAGAAAAGCUUCUAUCGAGUUUAAAGGCGCCCGUACCGUAAAUCGACACAGGUGGGUGAGGAGAGUAUCCUAAGGCCAGCGAGAGAACUAUUGUUAAGGAACUCGGCAAAAUGACCCCGUAACUUAGGGAGAAGGGGUGCCUGUCUAUGACAGGCCGCAGAGAAUAGGCCCAAGCGACUGUUUACCAAAAACACAGGUUUCUGCUAAGUCGCAAGACGAUGUAUAGGAGCUGACGCCUGCCCGGUGCUGGAAGGUUAAGGGGAUCUGUUAGAGCAAUCGAAGCAGUGAACUUAAGCCCCAGUAACGGCGGCCGUAACAAUAACGGUCCUAAGGUAGCGAAAUUCCUUGUCGGGUAAGUUCCGACCCGCACGAAAGGCGUAACGAUUUGGGCACUGUCUCAACAAUAGACUCGGUGAAAUUGUAAUCCCGGUGAAGAUGCCGGGUACCUGCGACAGGACGGAAAGACCCCAUGGAGCUUUACUGUAGCUUGACGUUGGGUCUUGGUACUACAUGUACAGGAUAGGUGGGAGACUAUGAAGCAUGGACGUCAGUCUGUGUGGAGUCAUCCUUGGGAUACCACCCUUGUAGUACUGGGAUCCUAACCAUAGGCCUUGAAUCAGGUCUUGGAACACCGUCAGGUGGGCAGUUUGACUGGGGCGGUCGCCUCCUAAAAAGUAACGGAGGCGCUCAAAGGUUUCCUCAGCACGGUCGGAAAUCGUGCGAAGAGUGUAAAGGCAAAAGGAAGCUUGAUUGCAAGACAUACAGGUCGAGCAAGGACGAAAGUCGGACUUAGUGAUCCGGUGGUACCGCAUGGAAGGGCCAUCGCUCAACGGAUAAAAGCUACCCUGGGGAUAACAGGCUUAUCUCCCCCAAGAGUCCACAUCGACGGGGAGGUUUGGCACCUCGAUGUCGGCUCAUCACAUCCUGGGGCUGUAGUAGGUCCCAAGGGUUGGGCUGUUCGCCCAUUAAAGUGGUACGCGAGCUGGGUUCAGAACGUCGUGAGACAGUUCGGUCCCUAUCCGUCGCAGGCGUAGGAAAUUUGAGAAGACCUGUCCUUAGUACGAGAGGACCGGGAUGGACGUACCUCUGGUGUACCAGUUGUUCUGCCAAGGGCAUGGCUGGGUAGCUAUGUACGGAAUGGAUAAGCGCUGAAAGCAUCUAAGCGCGAAGCCAACUUCAAGAUAAGAUUUCCCACCGUAAGGGUAAGACCCCAGGAAGACUACCUGGUUGAUAGGUCGAAGGUGUAAGUGCAGUAAUGUAUUUAGCUUAUCGAUACUAAUAGGUCGAGGACUUGACC